rnacentral:rRNA from 1 species
AGCAGCCGCGGUAAUUCCAGCUCCAAUAGCGUAUAUUAAAGUUGUUGCAGUUAAAAAGCUCGUAGUUGAAUUUCGGGACCAAUAUGUCGGUCGUGCUUCGGUACGUACUUGCAUUAUUGGUUUCUCCCUUCUGAAGAACCAUGAUGUCAUUAAUUUGGUGUCUUGGGGAAUCAGGACUGUUACUUUGAAAAAUUAGAGUGUUUAAAGCAGGCUCACGCUUGAAUACAUUAGCAUGGAAUAAUGAAAUAGGACGUUUGAUUCUAUUUUGUUGGUUUCUAGGAUCGACGUAAUGAUUAAUAGGGAUAGUUGGGGGCAUUAGUAUUCAAUUGUCAGAGGUGAAAUUCUUGGAUUUAUUGAAGACUAACUACUGCGAAAGCAUUUGCCAAGGAUGUUUUCAUUAAUCAAGAACGAAAGUUAGGGGAUCGAAGACGAUCAGAUACCGUCGUAGUCUUAACCAUAAACUAUGCCGACUAGGGAUCGGAUGAUGUUAUUUUUGAUGA